rnacentral:rRNA from 1 species
GAUGAACGCUGGCGGCGUGCCUAAUACAUGCAAGUCGAACGAAGACCCCUGUUUUGCUCUUCGGAAAUAAACAGGAUCAGUCUUAGUGGCGGACUGGUGAGUAACACGUAGAUACCUACCCUAAAGUGGGGAAUAACUUUUCGAAAGAAAAGCUAAUACCGCAUGUGGUUGCUUGCAACUAAAGGCUUCGGCCGCUAUAGGAGGGGUCUGCGGUCCAUCAGCUAGUUGGUAAGGUAAUGGCUUACCAAGGCGACGACGGAUAGGGGGCCUGAGAGGGUGAUCCCCCACACUGGCACUGAAACACUGGCCAGACACCUACGGGUGGCAGCAGUAGGGAAUCUUGCACAAUGAGCGAAAGCUUGAUGCAGCAACGCCGCGUGUGCGAUGAAGGCCUUCGGGUCGUAAAGCACUUUUCUAUGGGAAGAGCGAGGACGGUACCAUAGGAAUAAGUCUCGGCUAACUACG